rnacentral:rRNA from 1 species
CCUACGGGGCGCAGCAGGCGCGAAAACUUUGCAAUGCGGGAAACCGUGACAAGGGAACUCUGAGUGCCCGUAAAAUCGGGCUGUCCAUCAGUUUAAACAACUGGUGAAGAAAGGGCCGGGCAAGACCGGUGCCAGCCGCCGCGGUAAUACCGGCGGCUCGAGUGGUGGCCACUAUUACUGGGCUUAAAGCGUUCGUAGCUGGUCUGUUAAGUCCCUGGGGAAAUCUUCCGGCUUAACCGGAAGGCGUCUCAGAGAUACUGGCAGACUAGGGACCGGAAGAGGUGAGAGGUACUCCAGGGGUAGGAGUGAAAUCCUGUAAUCCUUGGGGGACCACCUGUGGCGAAGGCGUCUCACCAGAACGGCUCCGACAGUGAGGGACGAAAGCUGGGGGAGCAAACCGGAUUAGAUACCCGGGUAGUCCCAGCUGUAAACGAUGCGCGUUAGGUGUAUCAGUGACCACGAGUUACUGAGGUGCCGAAGAGAGAUCGUGAAACGCGCCGCCUGGGAAGUACGGUCGCAAGGCUGAAACU